GCCCAUGUAGCUCAGUUGGUAGAGCACAUCCUUGGUAAGGAUGAGGUCACCAGUUCAAUCCUGGUCAUGGGCUCCA
rnacentral:tRNA from 5 species